GCAAAAACGUAAAAGUAAAAAUGUUUUGAUCGCGCGCUCUGACGGACGUCACCUCCUCGUCCGCCGUCACCCGCCUUAAAAAAAGAAACCACAGCAGGGCGAAACGGACAAGUGCGCGUCCACAUUCUCGGUCCGUUGCAAGCUCCCGCGUGCCGCCUCGAAGUGCCCAAAUUAAUCCCGAUGAAGCUCCAGAAACCAAGAAGACUCGGUACGCUCACACCAACACAACACCUAACGAAUUCUAAUUUGUAUGCGUCCGUGUGCGAGUGAAGAAGCUAAAGCUAUCGAGGAAUUUAACAUUUAACACCUUGGCCAGGCCGUGCCCACGCGUGUUUCACACAUUUCAGCUGACCUUUUCCCGUGAAUUCGCGCGAGUCCGGAAUUAGACAGUGGCAACACGUGGACGUAGAAGGCCAUGACUCAGAGCAUUACCAGCACCAGCUAAUUGUCAAAUUUUCCAAAAUUGAUAAAGACAAAAAAUACCACAAAUCCACAAGCCAUUCCCCCCAAUGUGUUAAUGAAAGCAAUAGUCGACGGAAAUAAAACUUCGUGUCACGAUUUUAUAAUCACCGAAACAUCUCAACAGGAACAGGCAUAGGAAAGCGGGUUUCCAGAACGAUUCCAGCUGAAAUACCCGCCGAAGAGGAGUGAGCGAGAGGCAUAAUAACUGAGUAUUUCUUUUCUUCAUUAUUUCCAAGCCCGAUCCGAAGAAGCAGAGAGAACCGUUACGAUGGCGACAAAAAUGUGGUCACAAUUGCAAUCAAAGCAAAGACACACGUAAACGUAACGGCGAGCAGAGGGCAGCAGGCAGCGCUGCUUCAAACAUGUUGCAUGCAACCAAUCUGCGCGAUCGGCUCGAAGAUCGCAGCCAUGCCGAACCAUGCCGUCGCUGCCAGCUUUCACUUCGUUUUUACAAUUUUUCAAUUCGUUUUUGGCGCUUUUCACUUCGUUUUUGACGCCCGAUCCCAACGGUUCUUGGGGCUUGGGGUUCUUCAUAAGUGCUCUUGCACAUCGUGGACGGCCUGUACCUACAUGUGUAGAUAUUUGUGUGUUUGCCGCGCGGGCGUUAUUGUGCAUAUUUCCGGUGGCCGAAAAAUAAGAGGAAUAACAGCUAUACGAUAAAGCUAUACAUUUCCAACAAAUCGCUCACAAACACUCGAAUCUCCCAUGUUCUGUGUGUUCGUUGCGUGUGUGUGUGUGUGUAUAGUUGAUCCACUCGUAAAAAUAAUAAUAAUUGCAUUUAUCGGGUGUCCGACCGGCGCCAGCUUCAAUUUAAUUAUAAAUAACAUCAACUAAACUAAAUAGCGCCAUCGCUUCCACGCUCUUUCGAGAUCAGUUCCAGUCGGCAAUACCAGAUGUACAACACACACACACAUGCACGUGUGAACAUGUGUGUGUACACAUAGUUCUGUAUACUUUCCAACGUUUUUGCUUGAAAGAGUCCAAGUAGGCGUUGAGGCAAACCUCGUCCCUCUUCGCGCUCAGCCUCCUACCGUAUCGUCUGGUCUCGUCUCUCAGGGAGCAUCACGCGCGCCGGUACAAAGUUAAAGUUUACUUACACACACGCGAGAACAACCUUCGUAGUACUUAACGGAUCCCGUUUGUCAACCCACUUUUGAGCCAAGGGAAAAAUCAAUACAUUUCGAGGCCCCCUUGCUUUGGCGCAGACCCAGACACCACCGAAGAUAAUCCCAACCCAGCCAAAAACUUAAACCGAUUCUAAAAAAAAAACAUUCGAAGAGAAUGAAAUACAUUACUUCUUAUCGGGGAACUGGGGACAAUGUUCCAAGGUUUUCGAAAACUGAGAACUUUGAGCCGGCGCACACUCGAUAAUAAUUAACAAGAAUUCUCGGCAAUAAAUAUGUACAUAAAAGAAGAAAAUACUAAAAAUAACAAAAGAGGGAAACACAGUGCGGUGACGAAAACACGUUUUGCUAUUCGCAAGGACAUCUGUUCACAUCUUACCGGGCAGCAUUAGAUCCUUUAGAUACCUCUAAUACUGUCAGGUAAAGAUGUCGUCCGUGUCCUUAUCCAUCAUAAAUCCCAAGAACAGCAAACAAGGCGUAAAAAACUAGUUUUUCAAUUGUGCGUGUAGAAGCCCGAAAAAGAGAUCACAUCACAGCGGAAGGAAGGAAGGAGAACACGACGGGCCACAAAGAGAGAGAGAGAGAGAGAGCUGCUGGAUGUCGAUGUGGAUAAAUGAACAGGCAGCAGAGAAAUGGUCAUAAUUUUUUUUUUUGCAGCAUCAGCAACGACAAGACGCGACGCGACGCGUUUUGGGAUGACAUCAGUAAGAGACAGAAAAAAAGAGAGGGAGAGAGGGAGAAAUACAUAUCUGUACUCGGCCCCUCUUCUGUUCGACGGUCGACCGGCGCCGCCCAUGGGAGAGUGGUGGGGAGAGGAGAGUGUGUGUGCAGGUAAACCUUAUAGAAAGAAGACAACGUGGUCGGAGGAGCGGGCAGAAGAGGGACCAAUAAAAAAUAUAUUUUAUGGUUCCGCUUCUUUUUUCGUUUUGCGUUUCGUUUCUUAAUUUCUUCUUUUCAGCAUUUUAGUGACAAAAAUUCACUUUUUAUGAUGCCAUUUCCCUCUUUUACCCCUCCCUACCUACUCCGCGAUUUACGAUUAUAGCUAACUAUCCGAAGCAUCAGGUUGGGUUUCAUUUUUUUCCUGUCUACGUAAAAUGUUCAUAAUCCGAAAUUAUAGAAAUGUGAAACCAGAAACUGAAUUAAAUGCUUACAAAUUGCAGAAGCGUGAUCAAAUCGAAAGAGAAAAGCACGGCUUGUAGGGAUAUUUCAUUGGGCUAUGGUCGCCGGAACUUUAGGAUAUGAUGUGCCAAUCGGUCGUACCUGUUCAGAGCACCGUGCAGAUGGCAUUAUGUGUACCAUAAAUAUAGCAGCUGCAAGUAGCGCAGAGCAAUCACUGCAAAGCAGCUGCCCUGCCUCGUUUAGCAAGUGCUGAUCGAUUUCCCUUUUGUGCUGGCAUUCUUCCGUUCGUUGCAAUUCUCUGCAUUCGAUUCACGCCUUUGCUGAUAAGCUACAGCAUUGGAGGCUGAUCUCGCCCCGAGACCUGCACUAUCUCUUCGCUUCUCUUCUAGUCGGCUGCCUAUCCUACACAUUUCACUGUGUGUGUUUGAGUGUGCGCUGUAAAGGCGAAAACAAAUACCGGUGCCGGCAAACACAACCGGGGCUAUUGUCAAGAGUGACCAGAGUAAUGUGGCUAUGGGGUCUCUCAAGGAGGGGGGCGCAAUUUCGUAGGGGAGAUAUAUGACCCACAAACACACUCGUAAUGCACACCAAGGAACAGGGCUCGUAAAAGCGUUUAGAGGCUUUUAAAUUUUACAGUUUCUUGGCACAGUGGUACUCAUGUUUAAUGUACUUAGUGUUCCUUGGGUGCUUGGGUGCUUGGCUGGUUGGCGACGGUGGGGCCCCUGUGGUAAAAGGGGUUAAUCUAAUCAGGAAAACAAAAAAUGCGUUAGCUGCGGUCGUCUGGUGGAAAAGAUCUCCAAUGGCGGAACCGAACGAGACGAAACGACCAACGUAACCAGAACGAAUAUAACACCUGUUAAUGAACUUAGGAGCGACUCUAAUGAAAUACACAUACACACAUGUAUACCAAGGUCUGCCCCUCUGUAUUCCAAAAAACCCUUUUGGAGUUUUCCAACUAAAGAUUCUAUAAAUCUACCGCCGCAGGUAUCCCCCUGAUAAUGCAUUCGAUUCAUUGCUGAUCUCCGACUUCGGUUGCUUAGAUCCCCUAAGAUUUCUAAGAUUGAAGCAUUUACAAAGAAUUUACUUUAACCUUGCGCAAGGUGACCGGCAAUGCAGACAACAACUACAAAUAAUCAAUCUACCGUUGUUGUCACCCGACAGAGCCGCUGGCCAAGCCCUAAAAGACUCUUGGUAUUUCAUAAUUCGGUUGAGAAUAUUCCAAGCGGUCUAACGGUCAAACCAGCGGCAGAAAAAGGUGCCAAGUCAGCGCAAUCGUGCGACAAUUUCACAAGCAACAUUCAUCGGCCAAUCUGAAAAAUUAAAUCAGGCAAUACUCGAUAGGGCAGCACUUCAAGCCCGAGCACUGAGGCCGAGUUCUAAUCGAAAUUGUGACCAGAACACUUGUGGUAUCCACACACAUGGCCACAUGAUAAUGCCACAUUCACACACCACAUCCCAAACCACUCUCCAGCUGAAAAACCAAUAACGAUCGAUUCAAAUGCAAACAAAGCCAAACAAUACCAACCGGCAAACCCAUUGACAGUCAAUUCCAUCGAUGGCUCGAGGGGAAAACGUUGAAAUGAAUUUCAUAUCGCUGCAUAUCUCAAAUCUGACAUCUGAUUCUGCAACAGCAGCAUGUGGCUCCAUAGACACAGGCACUCGAACAGUCUGUAUAGAACAGGCUUUUGUAAAUUCUUGAGAACGAACCCUAUGUCUAUGACCAAUGGUCAAUCUUGGAAAUCCAUCGAUCGGUUCAAGGCAAUUCCACUAUCUUCGAGCAGGUGAAGCGUCGUCAGAGUUGAGAAGUCUAGUCCGAGUACGAGUACAUAUUGUACGAAUAUAUGCAGAGGACCAGUAUCUAAUCGGGGGUUGGGGCUAGAGUAUCUAAUCAUGGACGACGGACCGCAAGUGCGUGUAGAGAGUAUCUAAUCAUGUGUGUGUAUGUGUGUGUAAUUUUCUUUCUAAGACCAGGCGAAUGCGGAACCUCUACUAUAUUUCUCGGCGAUUAGAUCCAGCGAUUCCCGAGAAAAAAGAUUGUGCGAAAUAAGAGCAGAUCUAAUGGCUGGAAUACGGAAAUAAAGUAACUAAAUUCGAUAACUGACACACUUAUAACUGUCUUAUGGCACAAUAACUCUCGUCUGUAUCGUAUCUGACAGUCACCCAAACGAAAAAUCUCCACUACCGUAUCUCGCCAGGCAACAGAGAAAGAUACUACGAGUACAGGGGCGCUGCCACUGAAAUGAGCCCCAAUCAAAAUAUUGAGCAUGAUUUAUAAAUGACGGACGGGGUGUAAUAUAAUAUGCCUUGACGUGUUAAUAGAGCGGACCCAAAAGGAAAACGAAGGAAAAGAAAAGAAAACACGAUGAACUGCCGCAGGGGAAAGUGGCAAAGGCGGAAAGGGGCAGUGAAUGUGAAUGGGCGUAAAUCAAUUAAAGGCUAACAAAGCAAUCAAGCUCCAGAUUCAUAUGGAACGGAUGAGGUGGCGGGAGUGGGGGCUUGUAGCGAGUCAUGCUCCGUCACUCCUUGAACGGAUUGUGUGUCACAGCAAGAGUUAAAUUGCCCCAAAAUGCAUUCGAUAGGCCCAGCCGGACUUCAACACUUCAUCACCAGCAGCGCAUUGGUUGUGUCCCCCUAAUGAACCAAACUUGUAAGACGAUUCCGAGAAGACUCCACUCUUGUCUUGGCAUGCAAAUGUUAAUUGACCACUUAAGUUAAAACUUCAUAAUGAUCGUUAAUAAUACCGAGCGAUCUCUCUGAAGGUAAAAAAACGAUAGGGCAAGCAGGAGCAGAAGGUUGAGCGAACGCCGACAAACUGUAAGCAAAAUAACAGGUUCACAAACCUUAACUAGCCAAGUCGAAGACUCUUAAAAGAUAUGCACACGCACACACCUACCAAUACACAUACACAGGCAUUCAUACGACUAUAAGUAGUCACCUUUCAGAACAGAGCUGUGCGCUGACGAUGCGAGCAUGUGGGAAAUCUGAGAGCAUAGUGGCAGCCCGGUCCGGUCCGGUCCCUCUCAGCUUCAGGCUCUAACUGUCCGUUAAUGAUCUUUUCUGCUAGCUCAUUUAUCCAGCAUCUACUUGCAUGCAGUAUAUACAUAUGUAAAUAUGUAUGUGUACACCCAGCAGACUCAAGAUGAGAACAUUGUACGGUUCUAGCUGAGACAGUAUUCCAAAAUGUUCUUUUGGGCCAACCAACAAAAGUUCACAGCGGUUAAAGGAGCAAAUGGAACAAUUCAAUUUUAAAAUUUCCAAGAAAUGGGGGCUCAAAGAUAUAUAUAGGUUCCCCUCUAAUGAUAUUCUAUGAACCUAAGUACAUCUUUGAACGCUGUCAGAGGAUUUUAAACCGCUUUUAUAGAAAAUUCAAUUAACUGUAGUUCGGUUCAAUUUAGAGCAGUAACUAUAAAAUAACUAUUAUCUUAAAUUGAUCAAACACUUGUACAGGUACAGGAACAGCUAAGUGGUGCAGAGAGUGAAGGGGAGACUAGACUGAUACAAAAACUAGAUGGGAAAGAAAUGCAAGCUCAUGGCUCAUAAUCAAGGGCCAUGAAAGCUGUUUCCUGCCCAAGCUGAUUGCAUUGAUUGCCCCCCAAACUGGAAUGGAAAUUGGACCAAACGGGGAAGGAGUCCGUCCGCCCGUCCGCCCGACCGCCUGUCCGAUUCUGACUCGUGCCGGAGCCACUACCCCAAAAGAAUGCACCAGGAGUUUCCCGGCCUAGCGAAACUAACACUGCUCUCACUCACUCUCUUGGCCACAGGUAAUUGAACGUUCUCCCCAUUCUGCCAUUCAGCGCAGCUACUGUGUGCAACCGUGGCUCCAUGACACGCCUGCUCUUUAGCGAUGGCCCUGGGAGGGGCCUAGGACUGGGCAAUGUGCAUCGCGUCGCAUCGCAUCGCAUCGUAUCGCAUCGUAUCGCAUGGCAUCGCUCCGCUGAUUCAGCAUCGUCGCUGGGGUGCAUCAAAUUAGCAUUGUUCCCAGAGUCAGUGAGCUUUUUGCCUGGGCACUCCGAGACUGUACUUCGAGGCAAGAAUAACCUUUAAUUGGAUUGAAGAAUUUGAAAUAAAUAUAAAAUGUUUGUCAUUCAUGAAAUACUCGUCGCAUUCUGUUUAUCUUGUAUUCUCGCUACGCGCCAGCAUAGAUAAUCCCAUGUUGGGGAAAAAAGACCAACAUUCAAUUAAAUAAAUUACCCAAUUACAUAUUGACAUAACAUACUCGCACUCGUAUUGUGUGGACUAUAGACUAUAGACUUUUGAAAUUUCAUUAUCAUAAAAGCAUAUUUCGUGGAGCUACGAGUACGAGCAGGCAAGCAUUAAUAACUUGGCCUGCAAUUUGCAUUCGUUAUCCGAAACACAUGGCGCCCGUACCCACAUACAUACAUACAUAUGUAUGUACAUAUUUAUGAAUUGGGGCCACAAAAGCGCCACCUGGCGGGGCCACGCGUGUGUGGCUAAUCGGCCCCGUCCGUUCGGGCUUGGUAAUUAAAAAACGUUAACGUUUUCAGCCUGGUUAUUCUAUUUUAGCUCUCUUUUUUUUCGUUAUUUCGUUAAGUUGAACUAAUGGAAUAAUUAGCGUAAAUGUUGCUGAACAAAUUUCAGCUGUGGCCCGACUAUUGGUCGCCGCCACAUGGACGCCGAGUCCAAGGAAAUUUGGAUAUAUACUGUAUUGGCUGGAUACUCCUGUCCAUGCCUCCCUCGGCACACUGUUGGAGGAGUGGUUACUCAGUGAACAAUUAGCCAAGACAAGAAUCAACAUAUGGAGGCUGUUCAAGCCGUCAUGAAUAUGCAUGAACAGCUGAUUUAUAAGUGAACUCUACGCCCCGUCAUAGCUGGGACUACAGACGUCUAACAGCCAUCAACUAUAACUAUAUGUACAUAUAAACUUAACACGUAAAAAAUAAUAUAAAUUUGCAUAGAAAUUGCAAUGAACCUUAGCUCGCAAGUGGAAGAACAGCAAAGCAACAGGUUAAUGGCAGCACUGGCCAACAAGCGAGCUGGUAGAAGGCAGAAGGGGAAAACCAGAUAGGAAGGCCUUCUACACACACACACAUUACGAUUUACUAAUCAUAAUACAGCGAUGGGAAUAUAUUUUGGCUUGGAAUAACCACCAUAUGCCAUGGAUAAUAUCCAUA
rnacentral:sRNA from 1 species